CCUACGGGGGGCUGCAGUGGGGAAUAUUGGACAAUGGGGGCAACCCUGAUCCAGCCAUGCCGCGUGUGUGAAGAAGGCCCUCGGGUUGUAAAGCACUUUCAGUGAGGAAGAACGCCUGGUGGUUAAUACCCAUCAGGAAAGACAUCACUCACAGAAGAAGCACCGGCUAACUCCGUGCCAGCAGCCGCGGUAAUACGGAGGGUGCGAGCGUUAAUCGGAAUUACUGGGCGUAAAGCGCGCGUAGGUGGCUUGAUAAGCCGGUUGUGAAAGCCCCGGGCUCAACCUGGGAACGGCAUCCGGAACUGUCAAGCUAGAGUGCAGGAGAGGAAGGUAGAAUUCCCGGUGUAGCGGUGAAAUGCGUAGAGAUCGGGAGGAAUACCAGUGGCGAAGGCGGCCUUCUGGACUGACACUGACACUGAGGUGCGAAAGCGUGGGUAGCAAACAGGAUUAGAUACCCCAGUAGAC
rnacentral:rRNA from 1 species